UACGGGGGGGGCAAGCGUUGUUCGGAAUUACUGGGCGUAAAGGGCGCGUAGGCGGCCUGCUAAGUCGGACGUGAAAUCCCUCGGCUCAACCGGGGAACUGCGUCCGAUACUGGUGGGCUCGAAUCCGGGAGAGGGAUGUGGAAUUCCAGGUGUAGCGGUGAAAUGCGUAGAUAUCUAGAGGAACGCCAAAGGUGAAGACAGGCGGCUGGGCCAAUUCUGACGCUGAGGCACGAAAGCGUGGGUAGCGAACGGG
rnacentral:rRNA from 1 species